rnacentral:rRNA from 1 species
UGGGGAAUAUUGCACAAUGGGCGCAAGCCUGAUGCAGCCAUGCCGCGUGUAUGAAGAAGGCCUUCGGGUUGUAAAGCACUUUCAGCGGGGAGGAAGGCGAUAAGGUUAAUAACCUCAUCGAUUGACGUUACCCGCAGAAGAAGCACCGGCUAACUCCGUGCCAGCAGCCGCGGUAAUACGGAGGGUGCAAGCGUUAAUCGGAAUUACUGGGCGUAAAGCGCACGCAGGCGGUCUGUCAAGUCGGAUGUGAAAUCCCCGGGCUUAACCUGGGAACUGCAUUCGAAACUGGCAGGCUAGAGUCUUGUAGAGGGGGGUAGAAUUCCAGGUGUAGCGGUGAAAUGCGUAGAGAUCUGGAGGAAUACCGGUGGCGAAGGCGGCCCCCUGGACAAAGACUGACGCUCAGGUGCGAAAGCGUGGGGAGCAAACAGG